AUCUUUCUGGGAAUAAACUAGGAGAUUCAGGAGUGAAGUUACUCUCUGAUCUGAAAGAUGAUCCACAUUAUAAACUGGAGACAUUAAACUAUUGACUCUCAGUAUUUAGACGUCAGUCCAGUUUCCUCAGGAUCAGCUGAUGGUGAAUAAGAGCCGCUACAGAGACGUCACAGUCACACAAUCAACAGAGACUAGAGACACAGAGACACACAGCAUCACAGAAAGUUAAAACACAGGGCUUAUGCAGAGUUAGCAAUGGCAGGUGUGAAAAUUCUCUACAAUAUUUUAUUUUAAACUGGAACCAAUUGCAUUUUUUUUUUUGCUAAUUUGCAUUGUUACAUGUUAUGCCUUGGGGCACUAACACACACGUGUAAUGGAUCAAGCAGCGCCCGAAUCUCGAGCAGGACCUAAGUGAUGGUAGCUGCGUUGUAACUGAUGCUUGUGUGUCAGCUUGUGAUUUUAAACAUGUCCAAAAGAAGAAAUUUGAUUUGGAAGGGUGUAUGAUGAGCUAGGAGUGCGCGAUAUUUAUCAUCUACUAAUAUCGUAAUUGUUUUAAUGAUGUUCGAGGUGACACUAUGUAAUUCUGCAAAAAA